rnacentral:tRNA from 3 species
GGAGAGGUGACAGAGUGGUCGAUUGUGACGGUUUCGAAAACCGUUGUACCUUCGGGUACCGUGGGUUCGAAUCCCACCCUCUCCGCCA